rnacentral:rRNA from 1 species
UACGUAGGGAGCAAGCGUUGUCCGGAUUCACUGGGUGUAAAGGGUGCGCAGGCGGGAGAGUAAGUCAGAGGUGAAAUCUCACAGCUUAACUGUGAAACUGCCUUUGAUACUGCUUUUCUUGAGUUCGGGAGAGGUUGAUGGAAUUCCAGGUGUAGCGGUGAAAUGCGUAGAUAUUUGGAAGAACACCAGUGGCGAAGGCGGUCAACUGGCCCGUAACUGACGCUCAGGCACGAAAGCGUGGGUAGCGAACAGG